rnacentral:rRNA from 1 species
GACGAACGCUGGCGGCGUGCUUAACACAUGCAAGUCGAACGGAAAGGCCCUGCUUUUGUGGGGUGCUCGAGUGGCGAACGGGUGAGUAACACGUGAGUAACCUGCCCUUGACUUUGGGAUAACUUCAGGAAACUGGGGCUAAUACCGGAUAGGAGCUCCUGCUGCAUGGUGGGGGUUGGAAAGUUUCGGCGGUUGGGGAUGGACUCGCGGCUUAUCAGCUUGUUGGUGGGGUAGUGGCUUACCAAGGCUUUGACGGGUAGCCGGCCUGAGAGGGUGACCGGCCACAUUGGGACUGAGAUACGGCCCAGACUCCUACGGGAGGCAGCAGUGUGGAAUAUUGCACAAUGGGCGGAAGCCUGAUGCAGCAACGCCGCGUGCGGGAUGAAGGCCUUCGGGUUGUAAACCGCUUUCGCCUGUGACGAAGCGUGAGUGACGGUAAUGGGUAAAGAAGCACCGGCUAACUACGUG